rnacentral:tRNA from 1 species
GCCCUCGUAGUCUAGCUUGGAUAGGACGCUAGGUUGCGGACCUAGUAACCCGGGUUCAAAUCCCGGCGGGGGCA